rnacentral:lncRNA from 1 species
UUCUGUUCCGAUCUGUACUUCAGAUUUUUUCUGAUGCAUUACAUAUGGAAAAUAUUACCAAAAACACAAACCCCCUUCGGAAAUUCACCAAACAAUUCUUUCCAAUUUCGAAACUUUCUUCUCCCCCUCUCUCUCUCUCUCUCUACAGGUGUCGUCCUUACNUCCUCUCUCUCUCUCUACAGGUGUGCCUUCAAAUUCAGCAAUUCCGUUUCACGAAAAUAAAAAAAAAGUAUGCUACUUUGUGUAUAUCUAUCUACGUAUGGAAAUGAGUGUGUGUGUUUGUGUGUGAAUUGAAUUGAAUUGAAACGAAGAAGAAGAAGAAGAAGAAGAAGAAGAAGGAGCGGAGAGUGCGAGGAGUUAAUGGUGAGAUGAAUUUGAAAGCAGCCGCAAAAAGGAAAAGCCCUAAUUUCCUUUUUUUAUAAAUGGCUAUUAUUUUUAUUUUUAUUACUGGACUCACCCCUUUUCUUUUUCCUUUUUUGGAUAAAUCAUCAACUUUUUUUUGUUUGGUU